UUGACCUCAAAUCAAGCAAGACUACCCGCUGAACUUAAGCAUAUCAAUAAGCGGAGGAAAAGAAACUAACAAGGAUUCCCCUAGUAAC
rnacentral:rRNA from 1 species